rnacentral:lncRNA from 1 species
GGAUCCCACCUUGCCUGCGGGACCGUACCAGGCCUGGCGCGGUGGCAUGGCCUUGAUCUUGACAGGUCUCCUUGACGGCGAAAGCGAUGAUGAUGCCGGAGCGUGUGGGCGCGUACGGUCGCGCGUGGCCUCAUCCUGCAGGCCAUCCUAGGCGGUCCGAAGGGUGUAGCUUUACCCUCGGACCCCUGGUUAAAGGUCGGCUCCCCUCCCCCGGUCAUGUCUCCGGCGUAGGGCGAUCAGGGGGGCCACAUCGUGCAUUUAAUGCCUCUCGUAUGGCGCAGGUCUUCCUGAGUUAAGGACUGGGUGAGGCAUUGUGGGCCCCUUGUGGGCCCCACCCCCAAGCUGGCUGAGCCGGCGAGUCAUGGCUCUUGUCUUCCUACAAAGGGAGGUUGGGCUGUGGGCCGCAAUGUCAUCUGGGUCGCUUUGAGGAUGCUUCUAGCUGUUGGGCCUUUGGCCUUUUGGCGUCUGGUUGC